rnacentral:tRNA from 1 species
GGGCUCAUAGCUCAGAUGGUUAGAGCGUGCGCCUGAUAAGCGCAAGGUCGGUGGUUCGACUCCACCUGGGCCCACCA